rnacentral:rRNA from 1 species
AUGAUACUCGCCGUGCUCUUCGCCAACUCCGAAGGCAACAUCCUCAUCGAGAGGUUCCAUGGCGUCCCCCCGGAGGAGCGGCUGCACUGGCGCUCCUUCCUCGUCAAGCUCGGCGCCGAGAACCUCAAGGGAGCCAAGUCCGAGGAGCUCCUCGUCGCCUCCCACAAGUCGGUCUCCAUUGUGUAUACCAUGAUCGGAGACGUCUGCCUGUACAUUGUUGGCAAGGAUGAAUAUGAUGAGCUUGCUCUGUCGGAGGUGAUCUUCGCUGUUACGUCGGCGGUGAAGGAUGUGUGUGCGAAACCACCCACCGAGCGCCUCUUCCUCGACAAGUACGGGAGGAUCUGCCUGUGCCUCGAUGAGAUCGUUUGGCAGGGGUUGCUGGAGAACACGGAGAAGGACAGGGUCCGGAGGCUCAUCAGGCUGAAGCCGCCCGUGGAGCCAUGA